ensembl:misc_RNA Y_RNA Y RNA
AGCUGGUCCGAGUCAGUGCUGUUUACAACUUAUUGAUCACAGCCAGUUACAGAUUCCUUUGUUCCAUCUCUACUCCCACUGUUUCGAUUGACUAGCCUAAA